CAUUAGUUACUUCCGUAGUUCAGUGCAAAAAGUCGGUGUGCGUACAACAUUCAACAAAACCUAUGAAUUGAUAGAUUCAUCUGUUAGUUACCAGCAUGAACAGAACAAAGGCGUUUCAACCAAGUCAGAAGAUUGUUGACCUUUAAGAAGACACGGAAAGGGACGCAAUUCAACUACAGGUGGAUUAAGAAGGAAUUUCCAACACAGCCUUCAAGGCAGCAAAUAAUUCUUCUACGUUGUGCAUUAAGAACCUUCUAAUGGCCGCAGGUCUACGUUAACUCGUCCUUGGAAGAAAGGGCGAUCUUAUUUCUGGAGCUCAGCUCGUGAUGUACGAGAUUCUUUAUGUGAAAGCCGCCCUGCACCAAAGAACCAGACUGAACGAACCAUUUGGUGGUUACAGAUCUUAUUCUUCAGUCACCUUAGCUGUCAGCCCCCUCAUUGUGGAAUCAUUUCAGCCUCCAUUUUCACAAAAUGGAAAUGUUGCUGUAAUCAGGUAACUGAGAAAUGACAAAUUCCUACAUGAGACAUGACCAGCUCGAAUUAAUGUUGCUUAAUACAAGAAGCCUUCAUUGUCAAGAAGAAUGCCUAGCAACAUCACAGUUCUUUGAGAAGACGAGAAUGUGCCCUAAAAAAGUGGCGUGCAGACUUUUUCUUUCCUCUGCCAAUAAUACUUGCUGGAGACUUCUUCCUGGAUAUGAAAUCCACCAGAUAAGAAUCUUCUAACAAAUUCUUAUUCUAGCAUCAUUCGUUGAGGUUAAACACUAAUCUUGCUACACUACACCAACUAGAUAUUAAAAAAGAAAUAGAUGCCAUUUUCACUUUAACUCUUCUGCAAGUAAAAGUUUUGAGAAUUUGUUAAUUACUUUCCUUUUUUCACAUAGCCUUAUUUUCUUUUCACAUAUUCCUAUAAAGUUUCUGUAGAAGUCGAGAGAAUCAACACGACCUGGGAUUUAAUGAAUUUAUCAUAUAAUUAUUAUUUGGACUAUUAUAACACUGAAAUUAAAUAUAUAUUCUGUC